ensembl:lncRNA
GCUCUCAUUUAAGAAGACCCAGGAAGGGGUGGCUUCUCCAGGGUAGACAUAGAUACACGCAUGUCUGAAGACCAACAGAAGACCAGCUGGUGGGAUCGUAAAGACAACUUUCCUACAAAUGUUACAGACACAAUACCAGGAACACGGGAAGAUUGAUACUUGGCAAGAUGAUGGACUUCAAAAAUAACUUUGGAUUCUCUGACCUGCUUCACUAAUGCACGCUGCAGUAAAACCAGGGUGGGUGAGAAGUGUGUCAGAUGAAUGUCUUGGAGACGUUUGAAGUCCAGCUGUUAGAUGUGCUUCCAAAAUUCACUGGAGGAGCCCUCCCCACGUCCAAACAGGGAUCCAAAGAGAGGAGCGACAGGCAAACUUCAAAUAUGGCACAUAAAGUUUUCAUAGCUACAUUAGAGUGCAGAAGUCUUCCUGACUCAGAUUCCCACUCCUGCUACCUCUGGUUCUUCUGCUCAGAGCUCCCAGCCCCAGUCUCAGUGACAAGCUUCAAUCCACUGUGGCUACCUGGCUUAUGGCUCAGUCUGGACCACCAAACUCACGUGCAAAGGAGUUCUUACGAGAUGGAAAAGUGUGAGAGGGAGACUGAGCAAACAUCUAUGGGAAAGAGGGAUGUCAGCCAGUAGUGGGCACCACCCGCCAGUUAGUGGGGAUGGUCCUCAGCAUGGGAGCAGGCUGCAGUCAUAAAGGGAGAUGGGUUUAUUCAGUGUUCAGUCCGAAAGGCUUCUGUUGGGAUAAUUUCUGCUGAAAUAUCAUUUUUAUUCCUAGGUUUAAAAGAUGACUUAAGGCCUUUUUUUUUUGAACUUCCAUUGCCAUUGUCUUUCAUAUCUGUGAGCUGUCUUCUAUUCCCUUCUUAGCAUGCACCAUAUGCCAAUUGGGAUUUUUAAUGAGAGGAAAAGCAGAAAUGUUUGAAGAACUGCUGCUUUCCAUGUCUCCCGAUAAACUGCUUUCUGAAGAGGUUACCACCAGCUUUCCAUGAGUUUCUAAUUCUAUUCUCUUUAAUUCAAGAGAGUCCUACGGUCUUCAGUUAACUAGGCUCUAUUGGGCACUAAUUUUUAACUCGUUUGCCAAAUAUCUCAGUGGCAUUCACUACUUGAGGUGUUUCUUGGGUUACCAUGAAAGACUUAGAUACCUGGUUUUAUAUUGCAAAAUUCAACAGCUUUUGGAAUAUUCUGAUGUACUUACAAUUACAUAGAGAAGUAAUUGAGUAUGAACUGUUGCUUUUUGUCUGUGACUACAGGAGAAUGAAGCAAAAGAAGCAGGUCCUGGAAUCUUGUAUUAUGUACUCCACUGAGUACAGCUGAAUCCCUGAAAACUUCUAUAUGUCAGUGAAAUUAUGUGGGAUCUGUAACCGUAACUGCUAAGAGAUCCAAGAACAACUGUACUUAAGAGGAAAAAUAACCAAUUUAUGGAGUCACUUCAUAAAAAUAGGAGUAAUUUUAAUGCAAUCCAGAAAGAUACACCAGCCUACAGCAGCUGGCGAGACACCAGCUCCACCUACAGAAAAGGCUGCUCUAUAGCUCUUACGUAAGCAUGUUGAACAGAUCCCAAGCUUUGGCACCUGCAGUAGUCCCUCUAGUUCAGAAAGAUUACCUGCCUAUAAGGAGAUGCAAACAAGCAGCAGACUAAAGAGGCCUGCAAGGAAUUACUGAGUCCUAUGCAACUUCUUAUAGGUGAUUUUUUAACAACAGGGACAACUAACUAUUAGAAGGUACAUUAUUAUGUAAAGUACGAAAACAAAAUUGGCCUGUCUUCUUCCUGAAGCAAUCAGGUUUAUUCAUAUUUUUAUUGCUAAUUGAAAAUAAGAAGAAAUAAAACACAUAGUCUGCCCA